ACGGGUGAGUAACGCGUAGGAAUUUACCUUGCAGUGGGGGAUAACUUGGGGAAACCCAAGCUAAUACCGCAUAAGCCCGAGAGGGGAAAGCGUGGGACCGAAAGGCCACGUGCUAUGAGAUGAGCCUGCGUCGGAUUAGCUAGUUGGUAGGGUAAAGGCCUACCAAGGCGAAGAUCCGUAGCUGGUCUGAGAGGACGACCAGCCACACUGGGACUGAGACACGGCCCAGACUCCUACGGGAGGCAGCAGUGGGGAAUAUUGGACAAUGGGCGCAAGCCUGAUCCAGCAAUGCCGCGUGUGUGAAGAAGGCCUGCGGGUUGUAAAGCACUUUCGGUGGGGAGGAAGGCCUACGUUUUAAUAGAACGUAGGAUUGACGUUACCCACAGAAGAAGCACCGGCUAACUCUGUGCCAGCAGCCGCGGUAAUACAGAGGGUGCGAGCGUUAAUCGGAAUUACUGGGCGUAAAGGGUGCGUAGGUGGUUAGUUAAGUUAGAUGUGAAAUCCCUGGGCUUAACCUAGGAACGGCAUUUAAGACUGAUUAGCUAGAGUUUGGUAGAGGGAAGUGGAAUUUCCGGUGUAGCG
rnacentral:rRNA from 1 species